UGAGGAAUAUUGGUCAAUGGGCGAGAGCCUGAACCAGCCAAGUAGCGUGAAGGACGACGGCCCUACGGGUUGUAAACUUCUUUUAUAAGGGAAUAAAGUUCGCCACGUGUGGUGUUUUGUAUGUACCUUAUGAAUAAGCAUCGGCUAAUUCCGUGCCAGCAGCCGCGGUAAUACGGAAGAUGCGAGCGUUAUCCGGAUUUAUUGGGUUUAAAGGGAGCGUAGGCGGGCUUUUAAGUCAGCGGUCAAAUGCCACGGCUCAACCGUGGCCAGCCGUUGAAACUGCAAGCCUUGAGUCUGCACAGGGCACAUGGAAUUCGUGGUGUAGCGGUGAAAUGCUUAGAUAUCACGAAGAACUCCGAUCGCGAAGGCAUUGUGCCGGGGCAGCACUGACGCUGAGGCUCGAAAGUGCGGGUAUCAAACAGGAUUAGAUACCCUGGUAGUCCGCACGGUAAACGAUGAAUGCUCGCUAUGGGCGAUACAAUGUCCGUGGCCAAGCGAAAGCGUUAAGCAUUCCACCUGGGGAGUACGCCGGCAACGGUGAAACUCAAAGGAAUUGACGGGGGCCCGCACAAGCGGAGGAACAUGUGGUUUAAUUCGAUGAUACGCGAGGAACCUUACCCGGGCUUGAAUUGCAGGUGCAUGAGUCAGAGACGGCUCUUUCCUUCGGGACUCCUGUGAAGGUGCUGCAUGGUUGUCGUCAGCUCGUGCCGUGAGGUGUCGGCUUAAGUGCCAUAACGAGCGCAACCCUUCUCCCCAGUUGCCAUCGGGUAAUGCCGGGCCCUCUGGGGACACUGCCAUCGUAAGAUGCGAGGAAGGUGGGGAUGACGUCAAAUCAGCACGGCCCUUACGUCCGGGGCCACACACGUGUUACAAUGGGGGGUACAGAGGGCCGCUGUCCGGUGACGGUCGGCCAAUCCCUAAAACCCCUCUCAGUUCGGACUGGAGUCUGCAACCCGACUCCACGAAGCUGGAUUCGCUAGUAAUCGCGCAUCAGCCAUGGCGCAGUGAAUACGUUCCC
rnacentral:rRNA from 1 species